GAUGAACGCUGGCGGCGUGCUUAACACAUGCAAGUCGAACGGUGAAGCGCCUUCCUUUUUGGUGGGUGUGGAUGAGUGGCGAACUGGUGAGUAACACGUGAGCAACCUGCCCCCUUCUUCUGGAUAACCGCAUGAAAGUGUGGCUAAUACAGGAUAUUCUGGGUCUGUCGCAUGAUGGGUCUGGGACAGAUAUUGUUUCGCUGGGGGAUGGGCUCGCGGCCUAUCAGCUUGUUGGUGGGGUGAUGGCCUACCAAGGCGGUGAGGGGUAGCCGGCCUGAGAGGGUGGGCGGUCACAGAAGGGCGGAGAGGCGGAGCAUACUCCGAGAGGAAGCAGCAGGGAAGAUUAUGGCACGGGGGAAGGAAGGAUGAUGCAGCGACGCGGGGGGGGUGAUGGUCGCCGGCGGGUUGAGAACCUCUAUCGGGAGUGAAGCAGGGCGGCCGUGUGUGUGGGUGGGUUGACGGUAGCUAGAUAAGAAGCGCCGGCUAACUACGUG
rnacentral:rRNA from 1 species